CAAACAUCCCUUCGCAACCAAACCUGCAUGACUGUGGAGUUAUAAUGUUACAAGCAAUGCAAAUUUGGGAUGGUUCGAAUAAAUUCAAUGGGAAAAGCAUGCCAAAUUACUCUAAUGAGGAAUUGCUUGCAAUAAGAAAGCAAUACGUUUAUGAUUGGAUCUUGGAUAACGACAACAUUAGAAUACUUGAUGCGCUGGAGGUGUACGGAUUGUUGUAGGACAUUUGUUGUUUUGUAAAAAUGUAGGCCAGUUCCUUUUGUAUAGUUUGUUAGAUACACAAACGUGUAUGAAUACAUUGUGGAAAUUACUAUUGUAAUAAUGUUAGUGACUUGAAGGUUUUUAUGUCAGAAUAUAUAGAUGAAUUUUCAUUCAUGAUUGAUGUCGACCUUUAUAUAUGUGGAAAUAAUAAAACAAGUGUAAUUUUCAGUACGAGAAGCUUUAGCUUUAUAAAAGAGCAUUGUAAUCGUUUUGCGGNCUUUGUAAAGGAUUGCAAGAAUUAGGUGGCACAUUUGCACGUCCUUGUGGCUGAUUGGGGGAGCACCUAUGCUUCAAGAAGGACCUAAGU